GGUCCCAUAGCUCAGCUGGAUAGAGCGUCUGCCUUCUAAGCAGAAUGCCGCAGGUUCGAGUCCUGCUGGGAUCACCA
rnacentral:tRNA from 1 species